rnacentral:rRNA from 1 species
GUGCAGCAGGCGCGAAUCUUGGGCAAUGCCCGCAAGGGUGACCCAGCGACGCCACGUGGGGGAUGAAGCCCGAAAGGGUGUAAACCCCUUUUGGUGGGGAGCAAGGGUGGUUCUCUUGAGCCACCUUGAGAGUACCCACCGAAUAAGGGCUGGGCUAAACUCGUGGCCAGCAGCAGCGGUAAUACGAGUGGCCCAAGCGUUCUCCGGAAUUACUGGGGCCUAAAGCGUCCGUAGGCGGCCUUGCAAGUUCCUGGUUAAAAUCCUGGGGGCUCAACCCCCAGAAUUGCCGGGAAGACUACAAGGCUAGAGGGCGUCAGAGGGUGGCGGAACGCCCGGUGUAGGGGUGAAAAUCCGUUGAUAUCGGGCGGAACACCGAAAGCGAAGGCAGCCACCUAGGGCGCCCCUGACGCUGAGGGACGACACCCCGGGGAGCGAAACGGAUUAGAUACCCCUGUAGU